AUAAAACUCGGUUUUCGAGCAUUUCGCUGCCCCAGGAGGGCAGUGGGCCCCCUGUCCAAUUCAUCAACUGCCUAAUGAGCAGCCCCGGAGGUCCCGGCCCGCCCAUUCCAGAAGCUCUCUCUGCCUUGUAAAGACUCUCAUGCCUUCACCAGCUUGUCAGGACUCUGCCGGAUCCGGGCCUGGGACCGCAUCAGUCCCGAUGUGCUGGGAGAGCUGGAAUCUGAGCACACGAGCUCGGGGACACAGCUAGUGCUUUUGCCAACUUCCUGGAUGUUCGUUUCUGGUUCUGCACGAAAGAGCCACAUUUCCUUUUGGAACCGGGACCGGGAGAGAGACUGCAGCAGGCACUGGAAAUCGUGAGUACUGCCCGGUCUUCCUCCAGCGACGCUCCGACCCUGUCUGUCCGUCCGUCCAUGCAUCCUGCCUCCAGUGUCUUUCUCUGCCAGUUAACCUUCUGUGGGGCUCCUCCACGAACCCCUCGGUCCACCCGCAGCACCACGCUGACUUUUAGGAAAGGACCCUCUACCAUGCGUGUACAGACAUCGAUGGGAAGGGGAGGGGGAGUGUGCUUACCAUCGGCAGUGACUCCAGUUUUCAUUUUAAGGCUCUGAGAGAUGGAGAAAGUCAACAGAAGCAGGCUGGUUUAUUUCAGGGUGAACAGUGAGUCCCUCCUGAAUUUACCUAAUAAAAUGAAUUUUUAAAUUUUCAUUUUCUCAUUCCAUUCCAGCAGAAAAUGAGUUUGCCUUUAUAAUGUCCAGAUCUUUCGAACUCGACUGAGUAAGAAAUUAAGUUACAAAAUGUAAAUACAUUGGUCAUACCCACACGCGCACACACACACACAUAUAUAUAUAUAUGUGUGAAAUGAAUAUAUGUAUGAAAUGAAGUAAUUUCUGACUGUAAUGCAAUAGCAAGCCUGACUUUAGGCUCCUAGGACACUUAAAAAAAUUUUAUGAUGUGUAAUAAAGAAAAAUAAGGUUCAGUAAAAAUGUUUCUCUUUAAAAAUGGGUGCAUUGUGAUACUUCAUAAAUUUAAUUGUAUUUUUAAUUUAACA